AGAUUAUUAGUUUAAAUAAAACAUUUGAUUUCGGCUCAGAAGACCGUGGUUAAAACCCACAAUAAUCUA
rnacentral:tRNA from 1 species